GUGCCCCACGUCGUUUGCCUUCUGUACUAAUAUCCUCCACUUGGCCACUUGGGGGCCAGCCUUCUUUACUUGGAUUUAAUUAUUUGUCGCUUUGCUCUCUGUGAGGUGCAGGGGACCGGCGGCUGAUCCUAUCNCAUCUGUCUCCUAUCCUCUCGUGCAAUGAGCANGCUGUGAAAACUGCCAUCCNAGGAACGNUUNCUGGGGUCCUGGAACGGUGCUAUAAAGUGACACAAGAGCAGCAGAAACUGGGUGUCUCUUUCCACAUCAUGGCCGAAACCAUUUCCAGCAUUGUUUCGAGCAGCACUAACAGUGAAUUCAGAAGAAAGUGUCUCAGAACUUUGCAGGUUGCAGAUACCCAGGAGCUCCAAGGAACUAUCAGAGACACCUUCAACAAAGUUGUUUGCAAAAGACGGAAGCCCAGCAGUGCAUGUGAUGGCAGAAAGGUGCUGCCUGAAAACAACCAACUAAUGGCACAGCAUCCAAGUACAGACUUANUUUCACACUCCCUUCCCCAGGAAGCAUUACACUCCGUCGAUUUUGAGGGGAUCCGGGGAAAAGGAAAAGCUGGCUUUAAAGGGGAAGGUCUGUUGCUGAACAGCUGUGAUUGCCAUGGAAAGAAGCACAAGCAUCUGCCUGUGGAAGAUGCAGAUGUGAACGACUCCAGGGGGGCUGCGAAGAGAAAAAGCCCCUUCGUGCAAUCAAACGCUUCUCCGAUCUCUUUAUUCUCAAGCCCAAGCAAAGAGAAAGGGACUGAUUUCCAGGAUAGAAACCCGGGCAGAAACGCAGCUUCGUCAUCAGAAUGCAGAGCUAAGACUCACGAAGACGAAGGGCAGGUUUGUCAAGGGCCAUGCCAUUUUUCUGGCGAUUAUUAACUGGUGCCUUUCAGAUCCUUGAGUACCCACGAGUGCUGCCGGCCCAUCUGUACUUGUAAAGCAAGAUCAGGCUGAAGGAACUUUGGCAGCGCGUAGAAACUGCAGGGGAGUUUUUGCAGGAUCNUGGUUUGCUGGGUGACAAAAUUACGUCGGUCACAGAAAUCUCUGACUUGGAGGCGCACUCAGAAAUGCCUGGCACCGGUGCAGUGUUGCCACACACCAGCCAAAAUUAUUAGCCUGGCCAUAGAAUAAGCCUCAAANAAGCCAAGUGUGACAAUNAGUUGGCUGAUUUUUGGCAAACCCGCACAGCGUGGACGUCCCUGCUUCAGUAUAGGGACGUCCCUGCGACCCACUUAGGAAAUAAGCGUUUCUGGCAGACGGAGGUCUCUUGAUUUAGGGCCGCUGGAGACCUUAAUACUGCCUCCUCCCCUCAUCGCGAUCUGCUUCGGUUUGCUUUCAGGAGGAUCUGUGGUGGGACCAGGAAGCCUUAAAUCUGGCCAAGUGGAUCUGAAAUGGACCCGCUGCUUUGCGCCCCAAAUAAAGCCGCGUUGGGAGUCGGACA
rnacentral:lncRNA from 1 species